AGCACCCGCGGUAAUUCCAGCUCCAAUAGCGUAUAUUAAAGUUGUUGCAGUUAAAAAGCUCGUAGUUGGAUUUCUAGGGAGAGGCUUCAACCAAUCCCUACUAGUCCCAUCCGGGACAGUUACUUUGAAAAAAUUAGAGUGUUUAAAGCAGGCUAACGUCUGAAUACAUUAGCAUGGAAUAAUGAGAUAGGACGGAUUGAUUCUAUUUCGUUGGUUUCUAGGAUCACCGUA
rnacentral:rRNA from 1 species